AGAGUUUGAUCAUGGCUCAGAACGAACGCUGGCGGCGCGCCUAAUACAUGCAAGUCGAGCGAGAAGACGUAGCAAUACGUUUGUAAAGCGGCGAACGGGUGAGGAAUACAUGGGUAACCUACCCUCGAGUGGGGAAUAACUAGCCGAAAGGUUAGCUAAUACCGCAUACGACUCCUGGUCUGCGGAUCGGGAGGGAAAGCGAUACCGUGGGUAUCGCGCUCUUGGAUGGGCUCAUGUCCUAUCAGCUUGUUGGUGAGGUAAUGGCUCACCAAGGCUUCGACGGGUAGCUGGUCUGAGAGGACGAUCAGCCACACUGGCACUGCGACACGGGCCAGACUCCUACGGGAGGCAGCAGUAAGGAAUAUUGCGCAAUGGGCGACAGCCUGACGCAGCGACGCCGCGUGGGGGAUGAAGGUCUUCGGAUUGUAAACCCCUUUCGGCAUGGAAGAUGGAACGGGUAACCGUUCGGACGGUACCUGCAGAAGCAGCCACGGCUAACUUCGUGCCAGCAGCCGCGGUAAUACGAAGGUGGCAAGCGUUGUUCGGAUUUACUGGGCGUACAGGGAGCGUAGGCGGUUGGGUAAGCCCUCCGUGAAAUCUCCGGGCCUAACCCGGAAAGUGCGGAGGGGACUGCUCGGCUAGAGGAUGGGAGAGGAGCGCGGAAUUCCCGGUGUAGCGGUGAAAUGCGUAGAGAUCGGGAGGAAGGCCGGUGGCGAAGGCGGCGCUCUGGAACAUUUCUGACGCUGAGGCUCGAAAGCGUGGGGAGCAAACAGGAUUAGAUACCCUGGUAGUCCACGCCUUAAACGAUGGAUACUAAGUGUCGGCGGGUUACCGCCGGUGCCGCAGCUAACGCAUUAAGUAUCCCGCCUGGGAAGUACGGCCGCAAGGUUGAAACUCAAAGGAAUUGACGG
rnacentral:rRNA from 1 species